UACGUAGGGUGCAAGCGUUGUCCGGAAUUAUUUGGCGUAAAGAGCUCGUAGGCGGUUCGUCGCGUCGGCUGUGAAAUCCCGAGGCUCAACCUCGGGUCUGCAGUCGAUACGGGCGGACUGGAGUUCGGCAGGGGAGACUGGAAUUCCUGGUGUAGCGGUGAAAUGCGCAGAUAUCAGGAGGAACACCGGUGGCGAAGGCGGGUCUCUGGGCCGAUACUGACGCUGAGGAGCGAAAGCGUGGGGAGCGAACAGG
rnacentral:rRNA from 1 species